UGGCGGCAGGCCUAACACAUGCAAGUCGAGCGGUAGAGAGAAGCUUGCUUCUCUUGAGAGCGGCGGACGGGUGAGUAAUGCCUAGGAAUCUGCCUGGUAGUGGGGGAUAACGUUCGGAAACGGACGCUAAUACCGCAUACGUCCUACGGGAGAAAGCAGGGGACCUUCGGGCCUUGCGCUAUCAGAUGAGCCUAGGUCGGAUUAGCUAGUUGGUGAGGUAAUGGCUCACCAAGGCGACGAUCCGUAACUGGUCUGAGAGGAUGAUCAGUCACACUGGAACUGAGACACGGUCCAGACUCCUACGGGAGGCAGCAGUGGGGAAUAUUGGACAAUGGGCGAAAGCCUGAUCCAGCCAUGCCGCGUGUGUGAAGAAGGUCUUCGGAUUGUAAAGCACUUUAAGUUGGGAGGAAGGGUUGUAGAUUAAUACUCUGCAAUUUUGACGUUACCGACAGAAUAAGCACCGGCUAACUCUGUGCCAGCAGCCGCGGUAAUACAGAGGGUGCAAGCGUUAAUCGGAAUUACUGGGCGUAAAGCGCGCGUAGGUGGUUUGUUAAGUUGGAUGUGAAAUCCCCGGGCUCAACCUGGGAACUGCAUUCAAAACUGACUGACUAGAGUAUGGUAGAGGGUGGUGGAAUUUCCUGUGUAGCGGUGAAAUGCGUAGAUAUAGGAAGGAACACCAGUGGCGAAGGCGACCACCUGGACUAAUACUGACACUGAGGUGCGAAAGCGUGGGGAGCAAACAGGAUUAGAUACCCUGGUAGUCCACGCCGUAAACGAUGUCAACUAGCCGUUGGAAGCCUUGAGCUUUUAGUGGCGCAGCUAACGCAUUAAGUUGACCGCCUGGGGAGUACGGCCGCAAGGUUAAAACUCAAAUGAAUUGACGGGGGCCCGCACAAGCGGUGGAGCAUGUGGUUUAAUUCGAAGCAACGCGAAGAACCUUACCAGGCCUUGACAUCCAAUGAACUUUCUAGAGAUAGAUUGGUGCCUUCGGGAACAUUGAGACAGGUGCUGCAUGG
rnacentral:rRNA from 1 species